AGCGUGACAUUGAAGACUUCCAGUUCCGGGUUCCGCUGAUCAGAAGCGGACAAGCAAACAGCGGAUGUGCAGUUCCUCUCUUCGCCGAACCCGGUUUUCCCUUUCGGAGCAGCGCGACCGAUUUCCGGUUUCCCCGCCGCAACCACCGUUACCCCCCCCCCGCCCCAAUCCCCGGCGACUCCAGCGACGUCACCGGUUCAGCUCCUGACCUUUCGGCGAACCGCAGAACCACAGGCGACCCGUUCGACGUCAUCACUCCCCGCCCAGAUGUCGCUGUGACAUCACCCCGCACGUGCCUGCGCUGGCACCGCGUCGUCCUGGCGAGCGCCUCCUCGCGGCGGAAGGAGAUCCUGGGGUUCGCUGUGCGAGACAUGUCGGCGGGGUUUCACGUGAGUGACACUUGGUCCCCACGGGAUUGACAGCGACUAGCGGAGUGGCAUGUGGACGUAGCUUCAGGUGACCUCACUGACCCCGCCCCUGACUCCACCCCUUGUGAUGACCCCACCACUGACCCACAGGCCUUGGAGGGGCUGAUCCUGGAGAAGUCAAAGGACCAGGAGGACGCCAUGGGGGGUGCUGUACAGGCUGAGCAGGAAGCAGAGCAGCACAGCGUCAUCAUGAGGGUAGCCAUCUUCACCUGGGGCAUCCACGGAGGAGGAGCUGAUCCACGACUACUUGGACAACAGCACACCAGCGAAGGAUGGGACAAGGCCUGGGGCCUCCGCCAUCCAUGCGUGGGGAGUGAUGCUGGUAGAGGGCAAAUUGGUGACGUCAUCAAUGCAGCGGGCUUCCCACUCAACCACUUUAGCCGCAAGCUUGCAAGGGCAGCUGCCAGAGACAGGAAGUGACAUCGCUGUGGAGAGGGCAGCAGGAAGUGAGGUGGAAGAAAAGUGUUUUGAAACUGACCCUACAGAUAAAAGAGUUCAUCAUGAAUGCGAUACCCUCCUAUACAGUUGUUAGAAGCAACCCUCCAUCUCCAACUCCAAAAAUAAAUGAAAACCAAACCACACAGUUGGAAAUCAGGGGUCUGCAACAACACAAGGAAGCAAGCAACCCGUGAGAAAGCACUGGCAUGGAUGAAAACAGACUCACUGGAAAGAUGCAAAGCAAUGUCAGGUUACACAACAAAAGGCAAUUACAGUCAUAUGAGGGAGUGUUCGAAAAGUUGUAAUUUGAAAACUGUUUUUGGUUGUCCUUUAGUUGGCCUCCUCUGUAAAUUGUGACAGACAUCUCCUGACAACACUUAAAGCAUCUCAAACCAUCCUUGCCCUGAUCUAUGAGUUCUCAGAACAGAAGGACUACUGAGCCAGGCGUGGUAGCACAUGCCUGUGAUCCUACAACUCAGAAGACAGAAGAGGAAUUCUAGGUCAGCCUGGGCUAGACAGACAGCAAGACUCUUGUUUUGUUUUGAAAGGCUGGUGAGGUAGUUCAGCGGGUUAACUGCCUGGUCUAAGCCCAGUGACGUGAGUUUGUGUGCUGUGGAGCUUCUGCAAACCCUGCCCCUGCCAAAUAAAAACUCGUAAUUUAUAACUCACAAAAA
rnacentral:lncRNA from 1 species